rnacentral:rRNA from 1 species
CCUACGGGAGGCAGCAGUGGGGAAUAUUGGGCAAUGGAGGGAACUCUGACCCAGCGACGCCGCGUGCGGGAUGAAGGCCUUCGGGUUGUAAACCGCUUUCAGCAAGGAAGAAGCGAAAGUGACGGUACUUGCAGAAGAAGCACCGGCUAACUAUGUGCCAGCAGCCGCGGUAAUACAUAGGGUGCAAGCGUUGUCCGGAAUUAUUGGGCGUAAAGAGCUCGUAGGUGGUUCGUCACGUCGGAUGUGAAAAUCUGGGGCUUAACCCCAGACCUGCAUUCGAUACGGGCGAGCUAGAGUGUGGUAGGGGAGACUGGAAUUCCUGGUGUAGCGGUGGAAUGCGCAGAUAUCAGGAGGAACACCAAUGGCGAAGGCAGGUCUCUGGGCCAUUACUGACACUGAGGAGCGAAAGCGUGGGGAGCGAACAGGAUUAGAUACCCUGGUAGUCCACGCCGUAAACGGUGGGCACUAGUUGUGGGAACCUUCCACGGUUUCUGCGACGCAGCUAACGCAUUAAGUGCCCCGCCUGGGGAGUACGAUCGCAAGAUUAAAACUCAAAGGAAUUGACGG